CCCUAGUAACGGCGAGUGAAGCGGCAACAGCUCAAAUUUGAAAUCUGGCCCCUCGGGCCCGAGUUGUAAUUUGCAGAGGAUGCUUUUGGUGAGGCGCCGCCUGAGUUCCCUGGAACGGGACGCCAUAGAGGGUGAGAGCCCCGUCUGGCUGGCCGCCGAGCCUCUGUAAAGCUCCUUCGACGAGUCGAGUAGUUUGGGAAUGCUGCUCUAAAUGGGAGGUAUAUGUCUUCUAAAGCUAAAUAUUGGCCAGAGACCGAUAGCGCACAAGUAGAGUGAUCGAAAGAUGAAAAGCACUUUGAAAAGAGGGUUAAAUAGUACGUGAAAUUGUUGAAAGGGAAGCGCUCAUGACCAGACUUGGGCCUGGCGAAUCAUCCGGCGUUCUCGCCGGUGCACUUCGCCAGGCUCAGGCCAGCAUCAGUUCGCCGCGGGGGAUAAAGGUUUCGGGAACGUGGCUCCUCCGGGAGUGUUAUAGCCCGUUGCGUAAUACCUGCGGUGGACUGAGGUCCGCGCAUCUGCAAGGAUGCUGGCGUAAUGGUCAUCAGCGACCUUUCUUGAAACACGGACCAAGGAGUCGUCUUCGUAUGCGAGUGUUCGGGUGUCAAACCCCUACGCGUAAUGAAAGUGAACGCAGGUGAGAGCUUCGGCGCAUCAUCGACCGAUCCUGAUGUUCUCGGAUGGAUUUGAGUAAGAGCAUACGGGGCCGGACCCGAAAGAAGGUGAACUAUGCCUGUAUAGGGUGAAGCCAGAGGAAACUCUGGUGGAGGCUCGCAGCGGUUCUGACGUGCAAAUCGAUCGUCAAAUAUGGGCAUGGGGGCGAAAGACUAAUCGAACCUUCUAGUAGCUGGUUUCCGCCGAAGUUUCCCUCAGGAUAGCAGUGUUGAACUCAGUUUUAUGAGGUAAAGCGAAUGAUUAGGGACCCGGGGGCGCUAUUUAGCCUUCAUCCAUUCUCAAACUUUAAAUAUGUGAGAAGCCCUUGUUACUUCAUUGAACGUGGGCAUUCGAAUGUAUCAACACUAGUGGGCCAUUUUUGGUAAGCAGAACUGGCGAUGCGGGAUGAACC
rnacentral:rRNA from 1 species